AGAGGAUGCAGCGCAGGCGAAUACUGCACACCGUCUACCAAUAAAAGACAAAGAGGUUUCUUUGAAGCUCAACCGCACCAAAAGGCUUCUGUUGGACCCUGUAGGACAGUGGUUCUCAAAUGGGGGUACGCGUACCCUUGGGGGUACUUGAAAGUAUGCCAAGGGACAGGAACCCGCUUUUCCUCGGCAGCUGGAGCUGCCGGGACUUUUGCUGGCAGCACGCUUGGACACGCCCCUGCUCAUGCUGGGCGCAGCUCGCCCACACAGCAACAAGGCUUCAGGCAAUUGCGCAUUAGCGCACCUGGACCUGAUGACCGGGAGCGGCAUAAAAGCCAGCGAACCCAAGAGACCUUUGCCAGAACGUAGCCAAUCUUCCUGAUGUCUUCCCUGUUGCCUGUGAUCGUGUCUCACCUCACGACCUCCUCCUGGAUCUCUGCUUACCUCCCUCGAUCCUCGACCCCUGCUUUGACACGGACAUUGUUGCCUCUCUCCAGCCCCUGACUGCUUGCCUCCCCGCUGACUGCCUCUUUGUCUUCUCCCUUGGAUUCGGCAAAAGAUUCAUUCAACACGCACCGACAACAUCCUCUGGUAAAAGUCACAUUGAAAAUUUCACACAUCGUCCGCACUCAUUCACUUGUGGUCGCAUACACAUCCCACACAGGGGCGCCGCUAGGGAUUUUGGGCCCCAUGAAAAGAAUCUUUACAGGGCCCCCAACACAUAAUUUCAUAUAAUUUCAUCAUCAUUAGGGGCCUCUCUGGGCCCCCCUCCAUCAUGGGCCCUUAGAAUCCGUCUCCUUCUCGGCGCCUCU